ensembl:snoRNA
GUGUUCAAUGAUGAUUUUUACUUAUUGUGCCUGAUUUCCUUUUGGACAAUGAAGGCAAUAGUCACUACCUCUUCUGAGACAC